rnacentral:rRNA from 1 species
UGGGGAAUAUUGCACAAUGGGCGCAAGCUUGAUGCAGCCAUGCCGCGUGUAUGAAGAAGGCCUUCGGGUUGUAAAGUACUUUCAGUCGGGAGGAAGGUGGUAAGGUUAAUAACCUUAUCAAUUGACGUUACCGACAGAAGAAGCACCGGCUAACUCCGUGCCAGCAGCCGCGGUAAUACGGAGGGUGCAAGCGUUAAUCGGAAUUACUGGGCGUAAAGCGCACGCAGGCGGUUGAUUGAGUCAGAUGUGAAAUCCCCGGGCUUAACCCGGGAAUUGCAUCUGAUACUGGUCAGCUAGAGUCUUGUAGAGGGGGGUAGAAUUCCAUGUGUAGCGGUGAAAUGCGUAGAGAUGUGGAGGAAUACCGGUGGCGAAGGCGGCCCCCUGGACAAAGACUGACGCUCAGGUGCGAAAGCGUGGGGAGCAAACAGG